rnacentral:rRNA from 1 species
AUUGAACGCUGGCGGCAGGCUUAACACAUGCAAGUCGAACGAGUGGCGGACGGGUGAGUAAUGCUUGGGAAUCUAGCUUAUGGAGGGGGAUAACUACGGGAAACUGUAGCUAAUACCGCGUACCAUAGGAUGAGCCCAAGUGGGAUUAGGUAGUUGGUGAGGUAAAGGCUCACCAAGCCGACGAUCUCUAGCUGGUCUGAGAGGAUGAUCAGCUACACUGCGACUGAGAUACGGCACAGACUCCUACGGUAGGCAGCAGAGGGGAAUGUUGUAUAAUGGGCGAAAGCCUGAUGUAGCCAUGCCGCGUGGCUGAAGAAGGCAUUAGGGUUGGAAAGUACUUUCAGCGGGGAGGCGGUACCCGCAGAAGAAGCACCGGCUAACUCCGUGCCAGCAGCCGCGGUAAUUC